CUCAUGGGUGUCAGGUGAAGAAAAGAAUAGAAAAUAGGUUGUACAAGUUAAAAAACCAAAUUAAUAAGUCAGAAGCAGUUCCUGGGGAGCUGACAAGAAAUCUUUCUGUACAUGUUGGCUAGAAGAAGUAAUUGCGAGUCAUUUGGACCAUAAAUUGCUCCUUGACUUUCUUUUGAAGCUUCAUUCAGUUACUGUUGACAUUCAUCUUACCAUUACAAACCUGAAGCUCUUCUUUGAGAAGACCACCAUGAUCAGCAGCAGGAACAGAGAGAGACAGAAAAAAGACGUAAGGAGUGACAGCUGAGUACUCAGAAGUAGCAGAAGAAGAGGACAUUAGUAAGUGCUGUCUUGAGGAUGAGCUACCACUCUAAACACUCAUUCUCCUGAAUGAUGCUGAGCUGCCCUCUGCCCUCCCUACCACUCUUCUCAAACUACUUCAAGACAGGAUGGAUUUAAUGAAAAAAUUAUUGUGUGGAUUUUUAAGCGUUUGGAACAUUACACAUCCUUAAACAAAAUUACCUCAAUCAUGAAAGAACUAGUGUUCUACUAUGAUAAACUAAACUAUCCAUGACUAAUUCACAUAAUUUUCACAUGAUAUCAUCCUACUUUUAAUAUAAUAUAAAAACAGCACACAGGAAUAGAAUAAAUGUUCAUGUUGCUCAGUGUCAUGUGGAGUACUGUCCUUCCAGUGGAGAUAAAAAAAGUGCCCGAGAAGGUAAAAACAGAAAGUAAUGAUAAAAGGAUAGUGUCCAUCCCCCCCCCUCCUUAGUACUCCAAACUUCAGCUAUUUUCAGCCCAGGGAACUUUCUGAGCAGAAGAUGGUUCUGUAUAUGUCACCACUUCUAGAGAUUUCUCUUCCAUUUACUUGACCUAUCUCUGCUUGAAUUCUAAUGGGUCAUGAACUAGUGUCUGCUUAUGUAUUAAAAAUAGAAUUUGGCCUAUUAUUUUCUUCUGGGUGCACACACACUUCAGCAGCAUUAUACAUGCGUUUUCCCUCCCAGCAGAACUCAAAUUGAAAAGGCUCUUCCUUUCUGUUGCACUAGGAGUCUGAAAUUCAUAAAAUGAUAAAAUUUAAGACCAUGCCCUCUUGAAAUGCUGAUAAAUCUUCACCUGCUUUGUAGAUUUAAGUUAAUAUCUGUAAGAAACUCUGUCUGUGGAUUAACUGAAUUAAUCAAGCAUUCAAAAAUAGAGUAAGUAAAUAAUAUUUCAUGUUGAAUUUCUCAGAAGACAAGUGUGUGCAGAUAUCAAUGGAACUUCUAAUAUACAAUGUAAAUUUCCAGUUUAAAGACUACUGAUUUUUAGACUACAGAGUUAUUUAGUUUCUUGUCCAGAUAAGAGAAAUUAUUUGAAAUUUUGAAUUAUUUGUUUCACAGAAAAGCCACAAUAAAAUAAAAUAAAAAAAAAAAACAGAAUACUGAAGGGAUGUAAAAUGCAAAACACUGUUAGAUAAGCUUAUCGACCAUAUUUACAGACUUAUUUGCAAAUUUGUCCUGGUUUGUGAAGACAAAAUUGGUGUAAUAUUCAACAACUAGCUGUGAUGAAUACUGCAGUUAUUCAGCAUCACCUUUAAUUAUAAUGUCUGGUUUGUUAGAAUGCAUUCUGUUGCUCCUUCAAAUUGGCUGAGCAUUUUAUAAAGAAUACUGUAUGAAUAAUCAAUAGAAGUGUAUGCUAACAGGUAGAAAAGUACCUGCAGAAUACAUUUUCAGUAUCGCAAACUUGUAAAUAUUUUGUGAACACUAUUAGUUGUCCAAAUAUUAUUUGUUGGAAUGAAACUGACUCAGAUCUGUUAUGUGCCACUGUUCUCCAAGCUAAACCCUUUCUUUGAAGGAUUGUAUGCAAUUUAACUGGUGCACAAACAUCAUCUUUGCUGUUAAUAAAGGUGUAAAUUGCAUGUGGAUCAAAUACUAUUCUUAACACUGUUACAUCAUUCAAUUACCGGCUGAAUUAAUUAUCUUGUUCUUCCUUUUCAUUUAUUAACUUAGUAUUUUCCUACCUCUGAUUCUGAUAAAAUGUUUUCCUAUAUAAUAGCCAAAAAUUUCAUGUCCUUGAUGGAAAAAUGUUUCUUUAAAACCCCUUCUUUAAAAGAAAGCUUUAGUUUACCUCAAAAACUCAUCUUCAUUUUGUGGGAUUAAUUCUUUUCAAUUGCUACUCUAUAGCUCUAGAAUGCUUUAAGAGUUUUGCUCCUUUUUUCUUCCUGUUCUUCAGGAACAGUAGGAUUUCAGUUGUUACUUUUUAAAUAUAGAAAAUAAGCUAUUUAUGGAACACUUCAAAAAGAAUUUGUUGAUAUAACUUAUUUGUCAUUAAUGAAUAUGUCUUCAGGGCUCUCUUCCCUUAGACUGGUUUUUCUGUAUAUGUGUAAGUUAAAAAAUCACUCAAAGAAUUUUACAUGCUGUUUACUUAUCUUAAAAUGUGUGCAAUAAAUAAACAAUAUGUAUUUUUAUAAUGUUAAUCACAAAAAAGAGAUAUUUCAAAAAACACUGGAGGAAACCUCAUGCCUAAUUAUAGUAUGUAAGUUUCUUCUCACCUUCAUAAUUUUUUUCCAUAAUAUUUGCAAAAAAAGAUUUGCUGAAUACUAUGAAAUAUUGUAAAAGGGAAGAAUGACUGACCAAAUUAAAAAAAAAUAAAACAAGAAAAGAACAUUUCUGAGUGUUUUUCAAAGCAUAUUUUAAAAUGUGAAAAACUUUAACAGUAAUGAGUAAUUCUGAAACUAACUAAAUAAACAAAUAAAGUAAAUAAG